GGGAUCUUAACAGUCUCCAAGGACCCACCUAGGACAAAUCAGUUUGGAAUGCUCUUUGAGUUUGCAGAUUCUUUCUUCUGGUCAUCCUGUGGUCAUCUGCAUAGUUGUAUGUUUGCCACAACAAAAUCCUGAGAAUCUCUGCAACGCCAAUUCCUGAAACUCAUGAGAUGUUCAAUUUUGAUUUGAACAAAAUGAGCAACCGUCUUCUUUAAUGGCUGAGUGGUGGGCACAGGCUUGAACAACUUGUGUAAUAAAGGCUUAGUACUUAGAAUUCCCUCUCUUGUCGGACAAAUGCUUUUCAAAAUACUAAAAGCUUCAUGGAGGGGACACACUUAGAUAUACAGAAUGCGGGAUCAUCAUAACUCACCAACCGGGCCAUGAAAUUAGUCAAAAAAGAAGGGAACAGCAAUCAUGGUUACAGGGUCAUAGAUUCUGCUGCUUCAUUCCUAAAAAUUCAUGUUUUCACUUUGACCCUUCUAUGUGCUACUUCCAGGACUUGUUUUAUAAAUUGUAACCCAAGGCUUUUGUAUAUAGACGAGAUGUUGACCUAGUGAGAGUUGGUCAUAGUUGGUGGUUGGAUUGUUUGACCAAUGGUUGGACCUAUAAACUGUUUAGGAGAGAUAUUUAUGUCUUUUAUUUUGUUUAAGGGUUAAACUGAUAUACAUUUAGGCUUGUUUUGCCAUUUUUAGUUUGUGCGAGGACUAAAAUAAAAUUUUCUUUUAAGUGUAUGAAAACUUGAUCUAAAGACCCUAA